GAGUUUGAUCCUGGUUCAGGACGAACGCUGGCGGCGUGCCUAACACAUGCAAGUCGAACGGCCUAUCGAGGUUCGAAGUUCGAGGCUCGAAGUUCGAUUAAGUAUGAAUUUGAGGUCUAUAGGUCUCAUAAAGAAAUACUUGAUUCGUGCAUCGAAUUUCUAACUUCGAACUUCGCGGGCAGUGGCGGACGGGUGAGUAACGCGUGGGUAACCUACCCAACAGACCGGGACAACACUUGGAAACGAGUGCUAAUACCGGAUAACCUAUGACUCCGGCAUCGGAGACAUAGGAAAGGUGGCCUCUAUAUAUAAGCUACCGUUGUAGGAUGGACCCGCGUCUGAUUAGCUAGUUGGUGGGGUAACGGCCUACCAAGGCAACGAUCAGUAGCCGGCCUGAGAGGGUGAACGGCCACACUGGGACUGAGACACGGCCCAGACUCCUACGGGAGGCAGCAGUGGGGAAUCUUCCGCAAUGGACGAAAGUCUGACGGAGCAACGCCGCGUGUAUGAUGAAGGCCUUCGGGUUGUAAAGUACUGUCUUUGGGGACGAAUGGUCGUUAUGAAAAUAUUGUAGCGACAUGACGGUACCCAAGAAGGAAGCCCCGGCUAACUACGUGCCAGCAGCCGCGGUAAUACGUAGGGGGCAAGCGUUGUCCGGAAUUAUUGGGCGUAAAGGGCGCGUAGGC
rnacentral:rRNA from 1 species